rfam:Triticum aestivum genome assembly, contig: Triticum_aestivum_CS42_TGACv1_scaffold_471264_6AL
UAAAUACUCCCUUCGUUCCGAAUUACUUGUGCAGGUAUGGAUGUAUCUAGAUGUAUUUUAGUUCUAGAUACAUCCAUUUCUGCGACGAGUAAUUUGGAACAGAGGAAGUAGUUC